AUCGAGCCCUAACGCGUGUCGUAUCAAAGCUUACCACAUCGGCGCAGAAUCAAAUGCAAACUAAUAAGCAAUAGUGGCGGCUAGUGUUAUGUUGAAAGCCUACCAUUCUCGUAGUUCCCGUACCAGCCGGCCGUUCCCGAGCGUUGUUAGAGGGGCUAAUGGUAGGCCGAGUGAGAGCAACAUAUGUGCCAAAUGUAUGCGUGGCCAAUCAUACACAUCGGCGAGAUACGGAAGCCGAGCUUUCAAUUAUAGUACACUAUCCGAAUGAUCCGGUAGAAUGGCGAUCGCGAGAUCGAUAGAAAAGGUGCGACUUUCAUUGCACGUGUUACAUCACUCACAUCGUUCGAUCGAUCGAACGAGCAUAUAUUCGAAGCAGAGAUAAAUUGUGAAUUGAGUUGUUGUAUAUACAACUACAUAUUCGCUCUCGCCUCGUCUUUCUUUCUUUUCCCCCUCUCUCUCUAUCUCUAUCUCUAUUGUGGCUAGAAGCAAAUAGACGAAAGGAAAUGUUUGAACAAUUUUGUUUUUUAUGGUUUUUGAAAAUUGUUUGAGUGGCAUCGGUUGGUACGCUAGGGCAUGUUUGAUUUUUGCACUUGGCAUCUCGGUUACUUCGUCGGAUAUUUGAUUGAAUCAGCUAGUAGGAAUCGGAAUUGUGGCGUCGGAAUAAUACGUACAGAUGGCAGUUUGUACCUUCAACAACAACCACCACCACCGCGGUCAACGUUCAUCGUCACUACCAAACAACUAUCCAUCAUCAUCACAACUACUACCACCACCACCACCACCUUCGCAACAACCAAGUGCCUUCUGAAGCGCAAUCUAUCCUAUCCAACUCCGACACUCUUGACGGCAAGCGAUGUGAACCGAUUUCGCAAUUGGAAGCCCUUAAAACGGAAAACCAACGCCUUAAGGACGAGAACGGUGCCCUCAUCCGGGUGAUCAGCAAGCUGAGCAGAUAAUGAUGACACGCUUGCCGGGCAGGGACAUCUUUGCAUGAUUACAGGUGUGUGGGCGUUAUGACCUUAUGGCAUUCGAAAGUGGAAAGGCUAGGCUAAAAGAUUUAAAGAGAAGGAAGGUUAAAGAUUUCAACUGCACAGGGACACGCGUGGAACCACCCCCCGUUAGCUGUAGUGAGCAGCACGUCCAAGAUUAAGUAUAUGUGUGUGUGUGUGUGUCUUAUGUUUCGCAUUUCGUCGUCCAUACAGAUGGACAGUAUAUAGCAGCAGCAUUCACUGUUUGUUUUUAUUUUGGCCAUGUUUAGUCGUUUCAACCAAAAUUCACCAAAAUUGUCAUAAACAUUUUUUUUACUAAUUGGACGGUUAAAAAAAAUUGCGCCCAUGUUGUACAGCCGUUGGAAGGGGUUGGACGAUCCAGAAUACCUUUACCUUGAGGGUGGAGUUCUUUUUUAAGUUGAAUUAGUUUGUCUAUUUUUUCUGUUUUCUCUAUACCCACCGCCAUGAUGUGGGAUAAUCCUUAUCGGGAAUUAACUAUGAAUGUGCGAUUGUGGGGUGGUUCAAUUCUACUACUACUAGAGGCAUUUUAUCGGGUGUGAUGAUUCGUUGCAGAUUCCGAGAAUUGUUGAACGAUCGCACACGCGCUAUUAGUUAGUGACACGCUUUGUGUCGAAAGUUUUCCUCCUGCCCUUUAUGCUACGACCGGUAUGAUGUAACACAGAGCUUUUACAAUUGUUUUAGGCAAUCUGGAGAGUGGUAAAAAGUAAACAAGCUAUCUCCUUCGAACGAUCCUAUAGAUCAUAUGUUCGUAUUAGUGGAACAGGCAAAAUGAAAAUUAAAGUUACAGAGAAAAAGAAAGAAAGAGAGAGAGAGAGAGAGAGAGAGAGAGAGAGAGAGAGAGCAAGAGAAAGAUAGAGAAGAAAGGUAGCUAGUUAUGAGAAUGUUCUGUGUUUUCUAGUUUUGUUAGCUAUCAUCGGCGAUGAUGUUUGUUUGUUUGUAAAAAUGGCUCCCAUUCGAACCAAGAGAGUCUAGCGAGUGACAACGGCGUGAAGAAGGAGGCAAUAGGACUCUUGAGGGUGAAACCGUGUGCUAGCUGGAGGGAAAUGUCCACAAACACUAAUGCGCAGGUUAUAAAAAAAAUCAACUGAAAACCGAACAAUAAUUAUAGGUAGAAGUAAUCGAAAGCAGCGCGAUUGUAGCAACGAACCCAGGCAUGAGCAAUAGCGAAUGGCGAACUGGAUGCUGCUAGUGAAACGCGUAGAUGUUUAUGCUGUUUAAGCGGAAGGUAACAAAAGAAAAAUGCUGACAAACAGUUUACAUAGGUUUAUAUUUAUAGUGUGGUAAGCGUGGAAAGAAAGAAAGAAUGGAAAGAGUUAUCUUGCGUCAUGCAUCAUACUCCUGCGCGCAUACCGAGAAACAGAACGAAAACCACCACCCUCGAUAGCCACACAAUCCACGUCGGACCGGACAGCAGACGACAGCAUUAAGAAACAAAAAGUGCAUGAUACUAUUUAUAUGCAUACCUAUACAUAUAGCCCCAUUAUGCUGUGACGAAUUCAGAUGCAAGGAAUCGCAUACUCACUAAUCAAGAAGAAAGGAACGGAAAAUCAAAUAAACCCAUUACUACAUACUACAAUAAGCCUACCACACAGCACACCGAGGCGCAGAGAGGCAGACGAAACGGCGAUGAAUAGCUAUUAUUUUCCAAACUAUUCUCUGGCCAACGGUAGCCCGUUAUUUUGUUCUUUGUGGUUGGGUUUUUGUCGAAAACACAUCUGGUUGUUUCAUCUGAAAUUUGUUCUGCUAGAGUGGCGGACCAUCGCAGGCGGAACGAUCGACAAACGCAGAUGUUUCAUCGUUCGCUGUUGCUUUUGUUUGAUCUCGUUUGAUUUCGUAUUCGGACAAACUUGUUGGAUGGGGUUUCUGACAAUUUUCUCUGAUCAACACAUACGGCCGCGCAUUGCAAGGAUAGGAUUACUGGAAAAGUGGACGACAUUUCCACAUUCACAUUGGGAUGUUGCAUUAUGCCAAUGUAGAAAACAUUGUGUGAAUGCGGAAUGGACAUACAUGAUGCGGUGUGGGGGGCAUUGCCAAUUUGGAAUUCAAUUGAAAUCACCAUAGUCGCCUACAUACACACAGACUCAAACACAAGCGCAUACAUUUUUAUCACUUGCAUAUGUCUAUUUUGCGUCAUUGUCCAUUAAACGAUUAAUUAUCUUUACUGUUCUUACUACCUUUGUAAUUAUCAUUAUUAUUAUGAUUAAUAUUAUAUUAUUAUUAUUAUUAUUAUUAUUAUUAUUAUUAGGUUGAAUGGUAAACUAAAAACAUGAACAAAUAAA